GACGAACGCUGGCGGCGUGCCUAAAACAUGCAAGUCGAACGCAGUGGGGACGGGUGAGUAACACGUGGGUAACCUCCCAUCAGAGGGGAUAACACUUGGAAACAGGUGCUAAACCGAUACUGAUGGAUGGACCCGCGGGGCAUUAGCUAGUUGGUGAGGUAACGGCUCACCAAGGCCACGAUGCAUAGACGACCGGAGAGGUUGAUCUGCAACACUGGUGCUGAGACACGGCCCAGAGUCCUACGGGAGGCAGCAGUAGGGAAUCUUCCGCAAUGGACGAAAGUCUGACCGAGCAACGCCGCGUGAGUGAAGAAGGUUUUCGGAUCGUAAAACUCUGUUGUUAGAGAAGAGGUAUGUAAACAGGAAGCCACGGCUAACUACGUGUCAGCAGCCGCGGUAAUAC
rnacentral:rRNA from 1 species